AAUCAUUGACUCUACUGGAAAUACUCCGACAGUGCAGGAAGAGCUGAAUAUGACUCAAUUAAUGCAAACUCUUAUCAGAGUAGUUCAAACACAGCAACAGUUACUUCAACAACAUGCACAGCCGCGUCAGCAUCCUCCACCGACACCUGGCCAUGGAGAACAUCCGAUGCAGCGAAACAACAUCGUCGAGUUUAAAANNNNNNNNNNNNNNNNNNNNACAGAUCCAGAAAAUUAGCGUGAUACGGAAUUCGGUUGGGAGAGCGAUUAGAGUGGAGUUGGCUUAUUUGAUUUAGGAUUUUUUUUCAGAAUUGAUGCAAGAUUUUCAUUUUAAGUGUUAACUUUGUCAGACAAUUAUCUUCCUUUUUAGACACUGAGUUUUGAUUUGUUAUUUGAACUAAGAUUUGAUCAUUAAUACUGAAAUUUAUUUAACUUUAUGUAUAUGACAUCAUGAUGAGAAGCCUUGCAUGCUUAUGAGAAAAAUUUUCUAUGAGUAUGCGGCGGUUGCCAUUACCUUCGACUCACAAUCUCGGGUCGGGGGCAUAACAAUUAAUAUGGUAUCAUAGCAUAAGUAGAUAGAUAAAGACAUGUAGAAUAGAAUGAUGGGUAGAUAUUAGGAAAUUUGAAAGGUUAGUUAUGAUGAUUAUGAUCUGACCUGUCUUAAGUUUAUAAUUUUAUUAAGGAUAAGUUAUCAUCUCAAAUCUAUCAUAGGUCAAUAUGCCUCCACGACGAAUGAAGAAUACUCAAGGAGCGGUAGGAGGGACAUCAAAUCCACUUGGUGAUAACACGUCCCAUUUGAAUAGCGGCACAUCUCAGCAGGAGGAAAUCAUUGACUCUACUGGAAAUACUCCGACAGUGCAGGAAGAGCUGAAUAUGACUCAAUUAAUGCAAACUCUGAUCAGAGUAGUUCAAACACAGCAACAGUUACUUCAACAACAUGCACAGCCGCGUCAGCAUCCUCCAUCGACAUCUGGCCAUGGAGAACAUCCGAUGCAGCGAAACAACAUCGUCGAGUUUAAAAAACUAGCUUCUCCAGCCUUCAAAGGGACCAUUGAGCCAUUGGAAGCUGACAACUGGAUUAUGGAGAUGGAGAAGGCAUUCGCC
rnacentral:lncRNA from 1 species